rnacentral:rRNA from 1 species
AGCGGCAGCUUACACAUGCAGUCGAGCGCACCUUCGGGUGAGCGGCGGACGGGUUAGUAACGCGUGGGAACAUACCCUUUGGUACGGAAUAGCCUCUGGAAACGGAGAGUAAUACCGUAUGAGCCCUUCGGGGGAAAGAUUUAUCGCCAAAGGAUUGGCCCGCGUUAGAUUAGGUAGUUGGUGGGGUAAUGGCCUACCAAGCCUACGAUCUAUAGCUGGUUUUAGAGGAUGAUCAGCAACACUGGGACUGAGACACGGCCCAGACUCCUACGGGAGGCAGCAGUGGGGAAUCUUGGACAAUGGGGGCAACCCUGAUCCAGCCAUGCCGCGUGAGUGAUGAAGGCCUUAGGGUCGUAAAGCUCUUUCGCCUGUGAAGAUAAUGACGGUAGCAGGUAAAGAAACCCCGGCUAACUCCGUGCCAGCAGCCGCGGUAAUACGGAGGGGGUUAGCGUUGUUCGGAAUUACUGGGCGUAAAGCGCACGUAGGCGGACUGGAAAGUUGGGGGUGAAAUCCCAGGGCUCAACCCUGGAACUGCCUCCAAACUAUCAGUCUAGAGUUC